AACGAACGCUGGCGGCAUGCCUAACACAUGCAAGUCGAACGAGAUCUUCGGGUCUAGUGGCGCACGGGUGCGUAACGCGUGGGAAUCUGCCCUUUGGUUCGGAAUAACAGUUGGAAACGACUGCUAAUACCGGAUGAUGACGAAAGUCCAAAGAUUUAUCGCCAGAGGAUGAGCCCGCGUAGGAUUAGCUAGUUGGUGCGGUAAAGGCGCACCAAGGCGACGAUCCUUAGCUGGUCUGAGAGGAUGAUCAGCCACACUGGGACUGAGACGCGGCCCAGACUCCUACGGGAGGCAGCAGUGGGGAAUAUUGGACAAUAGGCGAAAGCCUGAUCCAGCAAUGCCGCGUGAGUGAUGAAGGCCUUAGGGUUGUAAAGCUCUUUUACCCGGGAUGAUAAUGACAGUACCGGGAGAAUAAGCUCCGGCUAACUCCGUGCCAGCCGCCGCCGUAA
rnacentral:rRNA from 1 species